GGUUGAGUCUCCCCAGUAAGAGAAAGCUCAGCAGCAGCAACAACAAGGAUCCUGCCAGUUUGACUCACAGCUGCAGCUUUUCCUUCCCAAAUGCACUUUCCCUUGUUGCACAGACAUCAUGGGGAGUUUCUGGCACAACAUCACAAUCAGAGGCAAUUAUCUGGCUACCUGAGUCACGGCUUACAGGGGAUGCUGGGAGAUGUAGUUUCCUCACAGACUCUCCAGUGGAAGGGGUGCUGUUCCAUUAGGACAGGGUGUUCCAGACUCACAGACACAUUCAGCUUUGGAGAAGGAAAUAAUUCAGCGCCGGUGUUGGUUUCGGUUGGAAGCAGAAGCGCAGGCGAGUGGCACGGAGCUAUGAAAUCUUGUUUAACUGAGUGUAAUUCCAACAAGGACAAGAGAGAAAGUGAAAUUGAGUAGAUAUAUUUGCUCUUCUCACCUCUCCUAGAAUAACAUUUUCACAGUGAUCAUGUCUUUCCUUUCUGUUUUGCCCCGAGCAUGAAACACUUAAUCUCCCAAGUCUGUCACUGCUCCAAUACACUUUAUUUACAGCUCUGCUCACAUCCAGAUCUAUAGCACUUACACCAAAAUAAAUUGCUCUGUUCAGACAGA